GUCAUAAUUAUUCUUGAGUCUCUUCCAGAAGAGUUUGAACAAUUUAAGGUCAACUAUAACUCUCUAAAGGAAAAAUGGCCACUCUCUAAGAUGACCGCAAGGAUCGUCCAGGAGGAAGAGAGGAUCAUGAGGCAGAAGAAAGACCAUGUUUUUCAUGUUGGCUCUAACAAGAGAAAGCAUGAUGGGCAAGGUUUUCCCAAGCCUCAGAAAAAGCAAGUCAAGAAAGAAGGCACUAAGCCAUUCAACCCUAAGGCAUUCAAGGGUAAAGAAGCCGGCAGUUCUUCUUCUGCUCCUAGCAGCUCCACUGCUGGAGAAAAUGCUUGUAACUUCUGCAAAGAGGAGGGACACUAUCAAAGGGACUGCCCAGGCUUUCUAAAAUGGAUGAAGAAAAGAGGGAUUCGAUACGAUCCAAACUAUAAG
rnacentral:rRNA from 1 species